rnacentral:misc_RNA from 1 species
GAUGAAGAACGUAGCGAAAUGCGAUACGUAAUGUGAAUUGCAGAAUUCAGUGAAUCAUCGAGUCUUUGAACGCACAUUGCGCCCCCUGGUAUUCCGGGGGGCAUGCCUGUCCGAGCGUCAUUGCUGCCCUCAAGCACGGCUUGUGUGUUGGGCCUCCGUCCUCCUCCCGGGGGACGGGCCCGAAAGGCAGCGGCGGCACCGCGUCCGGUCCUCGAGCGUAUGGGGCUUCGUCACCCGCUCUUGUAGGCCCGGCCGGCGCUUGCCGACACAUCAAUCUUUUUUCCAGGUUGACCUCGGAUCAGGUAGGGAUACCCGCUGAACUUAAGCAUACCAAUAAGCGGAGGA